AUAAGUACAUGACCCAAAGCCCUUGGUAAACAAGAGCUGUGAUUUUUCUCCAAGGAGGAUUUGAUCCUAUUGUGGGUUUCAUUCUCCAAGCUCUCACACCAGACCAUGUGCUUCCCCUCCCACUCCCACAUGCUGGUGAUUACAGUUCUGUGGCUUAGCCCAGGCCUUUUCCUGUCCCUUUCAUCAGUGUCCACUUGACAAAUGACUACUUAUCUAAGUCUUAGCUCCCCAUUGUACCAGUCUUCUGUUGUUUCUAACCCUUGGGCCCCAGAAUUCCAAAUGUUUUAUAGUUCCUUUCACUUUUGCCCUUUCUCUGCGAAGCCAUGUUUUCUGUGACACUGUCACGGUGAACCUUAAAGGGCUUAGGCUGUGCUGCAUGUGCCGCUGUACCCCUAAUACUAGCCUAGAGCCUGAUACAUCAUGCAUGCUGAACAGACGUCUGUAGAAUCGAAUUGAGUGAGUUCUGGAGGAAAGAGCGAGCCAUUGAGGUAUUUUAAGAAGGAAAUACGGCAUGUUUGAGAGGGAGAGUGUUGCCUGGAGACAGACAUGUUACUGUAAAUAAGUCAAGGUCAAGGUUUGGCUCCCAGCUAAGGCAGAAGCCGGAGAAAAGGAUGGAGCAAAAGCAGGUCUGGCAAGCUCAGUUGUGGGGGAGUGGAGGCUGACGGAGAACAAUUGGAGGUUGACUCGCAGGCUCCUAUGUUAGGAAGGGUGACCCAUGGGGGGGCAUUAAGGGAGGGAUCUUAUGCAAGAGAGAGAAGGUGUUGGGUAUAUCCCAGAAAAUGGCAAAGGUUCUCUGAAACCAAAGAAAGAUACUAUGAUCAUGUCCUUUCCUGAAUUAAUAAAAGAGCACCAUUCAAUAGCAGGAAGCCAGGUCU